AUGUGGCACAACACUGGCAAUGCCUUGUCGGUGAUGGUCAACGACCAGGAGACGGGCAGCAAAAAGGUUCUAGUACUACACACCAACAAGAACUUUGACCAGCAGAGGACCAACUGGGUGAUGCACCAGAACCACCUCGGUGACCUGGAGCAAGAAAAGGAGCGGGAGCUGGUCCUCUGCCCAGCCCAUGACGACAACGGGGCACAAAGAUCCAGCAGGUAA
rnacentral:rRNA from 1 species